UACGUAGGUGGCAAGCGUUGUCCGGAUUUACUGGGCGGAAAGCGCGUUCAGGCGGUUCGGCAAGUCGGGCAUGAAAUCUCUCGGCUCAACCGGGAGAGGUUGUCCGAUACUGUUGGACUUGAGGGCAGUAGAGGGUGGUGGAAUUCCGGGUGUAGUGGUGAAAUGCGUAGAUAUCCGGAGGAACACCAGUGGCGAAAGCGGCCACCUGGACUGUACCUGACGCUCAAACGCGAAAGCUAGGGGAGCGAACGGG
rnacentral:rRNA from 1 species